ACAGACAUUUAAAGUCUGUGGCCUAGUUUUGGAAUUCUAGGCCACCAACUUUAAAAGCUCAUAA
ensembl:ncRNA F11A6.5 ncRNA